rnacentral:rRNA from 1 species
UACAGCGGUCUCAAGCGUUGUUCGGAUUCAUUGGGCGUAAAGGGUGCGUAGGCGGCGCGGUAAGUCGGGUGUGAAAUCUCGGAGCUUAACUCCGAAACUGCAUUCGAUACUGCCGUGCUUGAGGACUGGAGAGGAGACUGGAAUUUACGGUGUAGCGGUGAAAUGCGUAGAUAUCGUAAGGAAGACCAGUGGCGAAGGCGGGUCUCUGGACAGUUCCUGACGCUGAGGCACGAAGGCCAGGGGAGCAAACGGG